rnacentral:rRNA from 1 species
GGCGAUCAGAUACCGCCCUAGUUCUGACCGUAAACGAUGCCAACUAGCGAUCCGCCAGUCGACUCAUCGCUCUGGUGGGGAGCUUCCCGGAAACGAAAGUCUUCCGGUUCCGGGGGAAGUAUGGUUGCAAAGCUGAAACUUAAAGGAAUUGACGGAAGGGCACCACCAGGAGUGGAGCCUGCGGCUUAAUUUGACUCAACACGGGGAAACUCACCCGGCCCGGACACCGUAAGGAUUGACAGAUUGAUGGCUUUUUCAUGAUUCGGUGGAUGGUGGUGCAUGGCCGUUCUUAGUUCGUGGAGCGAUUUGUCUGGUUUAUUCCGAUAACGAGCGAGACUCUGGCCUACUAAAUAGUUGACGCAUUGCCACUGUGCGCACAACUUCUUAGAGGGAUUUUCGGUGUUUUCAACCGCACGAAAUUGAGCAAUAACAGGUCUGUGAUGCCCUUAGAUGUCCGGGGCUGCACGCGCGCUACACUGGCAAACGCAACGUGCCUGUCUGCCCCGAAAGGAGCGGGUAAACGCUGAAAUUUUGCCGUGACUGGGAUCGGACAUUGCAACUAUUGUCCGUGAACGAGGAAUUCCUUGUAGGGGCGAGUCAUCAACUCGUCCCGAAUACGUCCCUGCCCUUGUA